CUCUGGUUUCAGCAGCUCAGUCCGCUGAGUUAUUGAUUGCAGGCAGCAACAAUCCCUCCGGGUGAUUUGUGUGGAAAGUGAAUCCGCGCUGGCUGGGCGUUCACAGGGGCGCAACAGCCGCAACGCCAUCCAAUAAUUGCCGGUCGUCCCCUCCAACACCGCUCUCCACCUAUAUACUCCUUUCUCUGCCCAUCGCCGCUUCCCCCCACCCACUUUUCUCUGGAGCGGACCGACCUACCUACUCCAGCUCAGCCCGUCUCCGCUUCCCCCCACCCACUUUCCUCCGAGCGGACGGAGCCGAGGGGGCGGGGGCUCCCUCCCGGGAGUGUUUCUAGAGCUCCGAGGCAGCUAGUAGGGGUUUCAUUGUCCGCAUGUUUAAAGUCUAAGAGAAAAAAAAAAUCUCUGGAUAUGAAGUUGGGAGAUAGAUCCAAGUCUACAUCUACGUCCUCAUGUUGGUGACCUUGGGGCACCACUUUCAGAUAAAAACAUAGACCUGAAUGGCAUCAUCCAGUAUCCAAGGAAACCAUAUGAUCUUUCCUGCCUGGGUUAUAUCUGCAGAGCAGCCGACACUCAUUCUUAUAGAUGUGUUUAUGUUUGAGAUUGGAUGUAAUGGAGGAUGGAAGGAUAUAAAAUGAGAGAAGGCUUGGAAACCAAGAACAUCACUCAUUCACAAAUACAUUAUGUCCCAGACCCUGUUUUGACUCCAGAGUUGGAAUAUGGUGGUCCUUACUGUUCUAGAGCUCAUGGUCAAUGGGGGAUAUGAACGCUAAUCAGUCAGUUGCAAUGCAGUUGUAUUUGUUUUUGUGACAAGAGGAAGAAUAGGAUGGUAAGAAGGUAUAUAGAAGGGAUGCCCGUGGUCAGGGGAGCCUUUCUGAAGGAAGUGCUACCUACUUUGAGGACUUCAAGAACUCCUCUAGAGAUCACUGGAUAAAGAAUAUGAAGCUGAUAUGAUGGGAACCACUGGAGAUUUUGAGAUGGUCUAUUUAUUGAGAGCAACUUAGAUCCUAAAUUUGUCACCAGCUCUGGAUUUCUCUCCCAAGCCAGGAUUGUGUGAAGUCAUUACAAUUUAAAGCAUACUGUCGGCCGGUCAUUCCCUGGACUCCCACUUCUGUUUCACCCCCAACAUACAGAGUAGAGAAGAAAUGAACUACUACAUGGAGAUUGCUUUCUCCUACUUAUCAAGACAGAGUGGUGUACAUUCACUUCUUCUUUUGGGGGCAUGUGUUCCAAGAAGAAGCAGAUUUCCAUUACAGACUUGAAACUGAGGUGUGUGAGGAGCACACAGAUAUCUUUCUUUUGAACUUUGAAGGAGAUAAUUUGCUGUUAACAUAAAAAUAAGACUAUUCACAAAUCAUUAGCUCUGAAGAAAAAUGACAUCAACAUUGUGAGGUACUCCGCCUGUUGGACAAAUACAAAAAGAAUCGAUUGUGGCAUAACUCUGGACUAAAGAGCAUCAGUGAAUAACUGCCUGCAGGGCUUGUUAUAUUUCUGAGUUGUAUGUAUGGUUUACAGUUGCGGCCAUGUGGUAAUUGCACCAAGUUGACCAUAUUAAUAGUGAGUUUAUCUACACCAUCUGCUGUUAUAUUGACAUCUACGUUUUUCAACAUAGCACCCUAUUUUUGUUCUGUUAUUUCUUCUUUUCCUUCUUCAUUUCCAACCAUCCCUACUGAUGUCUGCACCAUUUCAUGUUAUCAAAAAAAGGAGGCUUUCAGUGGAGAAGUGAUGGAUGGCAGGGAUAAGUGACCAAAGAACUCAGUAGAAAAAAGUUGUAAUUCAUGGCCCCAUACAACUGUAAAAAGGUGAGUCUUCAGGUAAGAAAGUAUAUGGAGUAAGCGUGAAAGAGACAGGAGGGUUUAAAAGAAUCAAAGGAAAUGGCUGAUAGGAUAAAGGAGAAUGAGGGCCAUACAUGUGUAGGAUAAUGGCAGAACAGUUCAGAGAUUAAGACGGCAUUAAUGUGAUCAUCAGAAAGAUACUUCAAAGUUUUGGCAACAUACUCCAACAGCAGUAACUCCAAAGAGCCUUCUGAAAUCAGGAGACAACAGGUGAGGUUUCCUUGAACUUUAUUCUUGAAUUGCAGUGAAGAUUAACUUGUAUAAGCCCCAUUUUCUGAUGUUUUAGUUUGUUUCCAAAGCGCUGUUCCUUCCAGUUCAUUUUUUCACUUAUCCUCACAAGGUAGCUGUGAUAGCUUCUGAGCAAAUCUCCUGGCACCCAACUCUUAGCUAAUUCCAUUAGAAAACACUGACUUUGUGUGUGAAAGGUGAAAAAAAUUCUAUUAAAUCGUUGCUAGAUUUUUAGAACUAUAGCUAAAGUUCAGGAAAGGCUUGGGGUUCCAAAGAGUAGAAAGAUAGAGAAAAGAGCAAAUGUAUAUAUUCAGUAUAAGCCAACAGAAUUAACCUGGGCAUUAUUUGAGCUUUUGUUCCCUGAAGCCAUGGAUCAAUGGUGCAGAAAUAGACACUCACCUCUGACAAAGAAAAAGCAUGGAUACUGGCAUGGGAGGGCAUGGUUCCUUUUCUUUCAGUCCCAGAUCAAAUUUAAACCUGUGAUUUUGGAGCUUACUCAUCAGAGGAGAAAUAUCAUGAGCUAUUUGCUCUCUCUGCUGUAACACAGCUCUGGCAAGCCUGGAAGUUGUGUUGAGAUCGUCAAAUCUAUAGUCAAGGACCAUCUUUGUGAAUCAUGAAACCAUAUGCCACUGGUUGUCUGAAUUGGAGGAAAAAAACACCCCAAAACAAAAAAACCCAACUCUACACCAACGAAACUAGUGAUGUGCUUAGACAGUGCCAAGGGCCAUUUGACCAUCUUACACCUUCUCAAUCUAUGCAUUUAAAAAAUUUGUUGCUACUGCCUGAACCAUGUAAAAUACCAGAACUCCUGUAGUGCUAACAAGGAAUAAAGAUCUUGCACCAGA